UAGAGAAUUAAGCGUUUUAGUUUAAUGAAGAUCAAAUUAAAGACUCUUGUAGCGAUCACAUCUUGUGGUCGCCAAACUAAAAUAGAAAUCGAGAUAAAGUCCCUCUUCUCCCCAAUUUCAGAUACAAGAAAAAACCUAAUUUCAGAGACAAAGUUCCUUGCUUCCUUACCAUCGGUGACUGCUUAGCCAUUCCGAUUCCUUCUUUCGUCGCUCAAGUUCAUAAAUUCAAGCUCCAUUCUUUAUCUUCCCCACACACACAUUGCUAUUAAAAAGAACUCCUCCUUCUCUCAGCAAGACAAGGUAUAUCAUCAAAGUUAGAGAGAAAUCAAACCAAAAUCGGAAAGAAACAGACGAAUCGGGUACGUUAGACUGUUCAACACUCCUUUCCAACACACCCGUGCUGAGGAGCACGGUCAGGGUCAGAGGGCAUGCAGAAAUGCCUUACCCUGGCAAGAAGAAGCAAUUUGCAACACGGUUUCCGAGAGUGACACAGGCAUAAUAGCAUGCCCGUGGUGAGCAGCACGGCCCAAUUCUACAUCAUGCUGAAGAAGGCCAGAUGUACAAUUUUAGCUUAACACAACAAGGAUCCAGGCCGUGCUGGUCAGCAGGGCCCAAAUCCAAGCUGUGUUGGAUUUUGAAAUCUAAUUUAAAAGAAAAGAAAAAGAAAGCAAAAAGGGAUAUCGAGGGAUUCUAGAGAGAGAAAUUUGGAGUAUUUAAGACAGACUUUGAGAGCAACCUUCCAGAUGAUCAAGAAGAGAAAAACAAAGACGAAUCCAUUUUAACAUCAUCCAAAUAGUUGUUUUUGAGGAUUGGAUUGAAGAUUCAAAGGAAAGAAGAUGGAGAUCUUGAGCUGUAGAGAUUGGAUCCAGAGUUAUUCAAAAGGGGAUAGCAUUUCCACCAUUUGAGAAAAGAGUGUUCAUGUUCUUUUCGAUUCUUAUUUAUUUUGUAUUUGAUUCUUGUAUUAGUUUAAUUAUGAACAUGUAUAACUAAUCUUAUUAAACCCAUUUAGGAGUGAUCUUUAGCUAUGCUAGGCUUGUUUUAGGCUUAAAUGAUUGGAUUGUUGAUUUAAGAUUGUAGUUUUCAUUCAAGUAUAACACAAUCUAUUGUUUCUUCUUCAUUGUUGAAUCAAUUUUAGAAAUCCU